UGAUGUUCAGCGAGGCCGCCUCCCCGCCCCUCGCCAACACUUGGCGCCCGCGCAACGAUGGGUUGCGCGCACGCCAGACAUGGGCAUGGCAACGGGCGGCAACCAGGGGCACCAGCCCAUGCGUGCGCACAUGAGCGCACACGCACAGCAAGCACAAGGCUCGGCCAAGGCUGCAUCUGACCGAGCGCACUCAGGCCAACCAAGUCCGAAGCCAGCGCACGGGUCAAGCACAGCCAAGAGCACAGCAAGACAGCCAAGCCCGCGCACAUUGGACCCGGACCAGCCAGCGCGCAUGCCCGAGAGCCAGACAAGGAAAGCCACGGUCAGCCCGACCGAGCGCGCGCCCAAGGACAAGUGGCAACCAUCCGUGCGCAAGGCGCAAGGCAAAACAAGGAAAGCCACGGUCAGCCCGACCGAGCGCGCGCCCAA
rnacentral:lncRNA from 1 species